rnacentral:rRNA from 1 species
AACGUAGGUCACAAGCGUUGUCCGGAAUUACUGGGUGUAAAGGGAGCGCAGGUGGGCGAUCAAGUUGGGAGUGAAAUCCAUGGGCUCAACCCAUGAACUGCUUUCAAAACUGGUCGUCUUGAGUAGUGCAGAGGUAGGCGGAAUUCCCGGUGUAGCGGUGGAAUGCGUAGAUAUCGGGAGGAACACCAGUGGCGAAGGCGGCCUACUGGGCACCAACUGACGCUGAGGCUCGAAAGUGUGGGUAGCAAACAGG